rnacentral:rRNA from 1 species
GUUCAGAACGUCGUGAGACAGUUCGGUCCCUAUCCGUCGUGGGCGUAGGAAAUUUGAGAGGAGCUGUCCUUAGUACGAGAGGACCGGGAUGGACAUACCUCUGGUGUACCAGUUGUCGUGCCAACGGCAUCGCUGGGUAGCUAUGUAUGGACGGGAUAAGUGCUGAAAGCAUCUAAGCAUGAAGCCCCCCUCAAGAUGAGAUUUCCCAACUUCGGUUAUAAGAUCCCUCAAAGAUGAUGAGGUUAAUAGGUUCGAGGUGGAAGCAUAGCGAUAUGUGCAGCUGACGAAUACUAAUCGAUCGAAGACUUAAUC